AACGAACGCUGGCGGCGUGCCUAAUACAUGCAAGUCGAGCGCAGUGGGGACGGGUGAGUAACACGUGGGUAACCUCCCAUCAGAGGGGAAAACACUUGGAAACAGGUGCUAAACCUAUACUGAUGGAUGGCCCAGCGGUGGAUUAGCUAGUUGGUGAGGUAACGGCACACCAAGGCAACGAUCCAUAGCCGACCUGAGAGGGUGAUCGGCCACACUGGGACUGAGACACGGCCCAGACUCCUACGGGAGGCAGCAGUAGGGAAUCUUCGGCAAUGGGCGAAAGCCUGAUCGAGCAAGGCCGCGUGAUUGAAGAAGGUUUUCGGAUCGUAAAACUCUGUUGUUAGAGAAGCGGUAUCUAACCAGAAAGCCACGGCUAACUACGUGCCAGCAGCCGCGGUAAUAC
rnacentral:rRNA from 1 species